CGGCAGGCCUAACACAUGCAAGUCGAGGGAGAGGUUACCUUCGGGUAAUCAAAACCGGCGCACGGGUGCAGUAACGCGUAUACAAUCUGCCUUUCACAUAGGGAUAGCCCGAAGAAAUUUGGAUUAAUACCUAAUGGUAUAUAAGAGCGGCAUCGUUUUUAUAUUAAAGCUACGGUGGUGAAAGAUGAGUAUGCGUUCUAUUAGCUAGUUGGAGAGGUAACGGCUCCCCAAGGCGACGAUAGAUAGGGGUUCUGAGAGGGAUGUCCCCCACACUGGUACUGAGAUACGGACCAGACUCCUACGGGAGGCAGCAGUGAGGAAUAUUGGACAAUGGUCGGAAGACUGAUCCAGCCAUGCCGCGUGCAGGAUGAAGGUCCUAUGGAUUGUAAACUGCUUUUGUAAGGGAAGAAUAAGGAGUACGUGUACUUUGAUGACGGUACCUUACGAAUAAGCAUCGGCUAACUCCGUGCCAGCAGCCGCGGUAAUACGGAGGAUGCGAGCGUUAUCCGGAAUCAUUGGGUUUAAAGGGUCCGUAGGCGGGCUGAUAAGUCAGAGGUGAAAGCGCUUAGCUCAACUAAGCAACUGCCUUUGAAACUGUCAGUCUUGAAUGAUUGUGAAGUAGUUGGAAUGUGUAGUGUAGCGGUGAAAUGCUUA
rnacentral:rRNA from 1 species